GAUGUGAUGGCUCAAUUAAAAUAGUAAUUGAAACGCGAUAUCACUGAGGUCGCAGGUUCAAAUCCUGCUCAUGUCG
rnacentral:tRNA from 1 species